CCUCAGUUUGUUCUGUGUAUUUAAACGUCUCUUACGGUUUGCCUCCCUCUCUGUAACCGGUUCUUUUUUCCUUCCCUUUCCCCAUGGUCUCCUGUUAAGUUUCCCAACUGCCACAUGUGGGUGAAAACACAUGACGUCUGUCUUUCUGUGACUGCCUUAUUUCAGCAAAGUGCUGAUUUAAAUCAUGAAUGUCAUCUGACGACGGUUUCCUGUUUGCCCUGUGUGUCGUGUGUUUCUUGGAGAGUCUGUAACCCAACUACGACCCUGGCGGCAAGGUUGCUCUCCAUCGAGGUGAUCUGCAACGGAAAGGACCUGGGGUAGGAGCGGCUGAUCUGGGGGAGCGCGAAAGGCUUGUCUCCCCGGGGGAAGGGCACCUGCUCACCCUCACUGCCAGGGAGCGCGUGCCCCCCAGCUUCUCCUCACCAAACCGCAACCCAUGCGAUCACUCUAAGUCUUGGGAUCACGUCGCCAAGUUUACAUCUCUAGCCCGGACUUCUCCCGUGAGUCGCCAUUUCCGCCUCUCCACGUGGCCGGACGGUGGCCGUCUCCAGCUCAGCAGGUGCAAGAGGGAGCCUUCGCGGCUUCCCCCAAUCCCGCUCCACACGCAGUCCUCGCCUACCCCAACGGUAGCAACUUGAACCUCGCUCAGACCUUCGAGGUGUCCCUGAAGGCUCUCUUUCUCUCUCACUGCACACCCACUGGGCUCCUCCUUCGCAGUCUCCAAGAUGGACACCGUCCCCACCUGCACUGCCGGCCCCUGGGUCCACCCCCUGGAGUGACCGUGGAUGCCUUCUCGCAGGUGGCCCUGCACCUGGCUUGGCCCCAUGCAAUCUCUUCUUGGCUCGUCUUCAACAGUUACCAAUACCAGUCUCUUCAAAUGACGAUCGGCUUUGCUUCUAAAUCCUUUAAUGCACCCAAGACAAACGCACGAGUAGCUUUGCCUCCAGCUACCAAACCAGUGGUGGCCCGGGGUGACCGACCUACCUACCCAAGCUUUGCAAUAUGGUGUCACCGAGGCACGCUCAGUGUAUUCAUAAUAAGGUAACGGUUUGUCUUUCAUCACAGGGUUUAACUGUUCAGUGUUUUGCCCCCACUAAUGGUCGUGGUCACUUUAAAGACAACGAAUAGCUUUCUGUCGUUUUGUUGUUUUUACCUGCGUCUGGAGUUUCAUCAUAUCUGCUUCAAUUUUAAGGUUGGAUUCAUUCAGUUCUUUUAUUUCUUCAUCCAGGUGCCGAAUUUCUUCAUCACUCUCUAUACCUACAAAGAGUCAGACCCUCUUGAGUGCAAACGGAAAUGUGAGACAAUGAGAAUACAAGUCAUUUUAUGUUUCGUUUGUGGUUUGCUAAGUGAGAAUUAGACGUUAAUUUGACAUGCUGAAUUUUUACCUUGACCCAUAUCCAAGAUUCUAAAAGAGUGGGUUCCAGAGUUACAAGAUGGGAUUUCUUUGUGAGACGAGGGAGUAGAAAAGAGCUUUUUCUACUUUUCUACAUUUCUACAUUCUGCCCUGGGGUUCCUACCCUGGAAAAGAGUCCCUUGUCCCCUGAAGGUGAGCCUCCCAUGCUCUGCGCCCCAGCAACUCCAUUCCCAGGUCCACACCCGAGACAAACGGCCGCCUGUGUGCGAUGGGAGGUGGGCAUGAGACGUACGCGGCACAUUCACAAAAGCCCAACCUGGCAACACAUGGCACGCCCACCAAAAACAACGCGAACAACGCUUACCAAUAUAAUGUUAAAAUGAACCCGUAAGCCCUGAAGCUUUCCACAAAGCAGGAAAAACCAGGUGGCCGUUUUGUGGGCACGUACUGCCUUAUUGUAAGGAAUUAAGUGCCUGAAUCAAAACGGGCCAAGCGGGCACCAAUGAAGGGAGUACUUCACGAGAUCGAUCUAACACUGGGCUCCGAGAUUCAGUAAAGAAGAAAAGCGAACCGACAGCUAAGAUCCCGGCAGUUGAGGACCUCGAUCGUUUUGAAUAUGAGUCAACCGUGUGACACGGCUCCUAAGAAAAAAUACACAAUUCCCCAGGACCACACUAAUGGUUCUGUAACAUCCAGGAUACGGGACUCAGGAUUUAUUCUGAACUGGCUGGCUGCACCUGAAGAAUUCCGAGCACCGAGCUCAACUGGUUGCUACCCUAGACAGGAUCUUCUUCAGACAACUGGGUCUGAAAUACUUGAUUUGGAUGACAGCAGGAAGCGCAGAUUCCCAAUUAAACAUGUUACGAGGGCUCUAAGCACUUGGCGUUUUUCUGAUUUCGGCAGACGAAAACUUCUAUUGCUAUAUUUCUUUGUCAAAUGGUUUUUCCUUUCUGUCUCUGUGGAAUAAAAUUCCACUUCAGAAAAUGGCAUUUUCUUACAUAGUAUCUGGGGAGGCAGACCCUAAAUCUGAUAAAAGAUGAAGACCUGGGAAGGAAACACAGGCGGUGCUUUGAGAACCCUCACUGGGGAAGGCUCUUUUAAUCUGAGCCUUUACUACUACAAACAAGGCAGGCCCAUGAAAAGCUUGGGACCCGGGUGGGAUGAGCAUCCCGGGGGACGGAGUAGAAGGCACAGAGGCCUGGGGUGGGAAGGCAAUGAAUGGGAAGGUCUGCUCCCUGGACUGUGAGAAGGCCCCCGUGAAUGAACACACGGUGAGUGACGAAAGCAGGCCACCUCACAAAGAGCUUGGGCUUAUUCUCGGGCAGUGGAAACCCGUGAAGAGUCUUAAGCAGGGGAGUUGAUGCGAUCGGGUUGGCUUUUCAAAAGCAUAGCUCAGUCCUGAGUAGAGGAUGCGGUGAA